CUAAGGCCAACGGGAGAAGGGUUGUUAAGGAACUCGGCAAAUUGACCCCGUAACUUCGGGAGAAGGGGUGCUCCAGAGAUGGAGCCGCAGAGAAUCGGCCCAAGCAACUGUUUACCAAAAACACAGGUUUGUGCUAAAUCGAAAGAUGACGUAUACGAGCUGACGCCUGCCCGGUGCUGGAAGGUUAAGAGGAGAUGUGCAAGCAUUGAAUCGAAGCCCCAGUGAACGGCGGCCGUAACUAUAACGGUCCUAAGGUAGCGAAAUUCCUUGUCAGGUAAGUUCUGACCCGCAUGAAAGGCGUAAUGAUUUGGGCACUGUCUCGACAGCCCGCCCGGCGAAAUUGUAGUACCGGUGAAGAUGCCGGUUACCCGCGACAAGACGGAAAGACCCCAUGGAGCUUUACUGUAGCCUAAUAUUGGGUUUCGAUGUUGCAUGCACAGGAUAGAUGGGACACUGGGAAACAAGUGCUUUGGCAUUUGUGGAGUGGCCGUUGGGAUACCAUCCUUGCGAUAUUGGAAUUCUAACCUGCGCCUUUGAAUCAAGGCGGGGGACAUUGUUAGGUGGGCAGUUUGACUGGGGCGGUCGCCUCCUAAAGAGUAACGGAGGCGUUCAAAGGUUCGCUCAGCUUGAACGGAAAUCAAGCAAAAGAGUGCAAACGCAGAAGCGAGCCUAACUGCGAGACUGACGGGUCGAGCAGUAACGAAAGUUGGAGUUAGUGAUCCGGUGGUAUGUGAGUGGAAAUGCCAUCGCUCAACGGAUAAAAGUUACCCUGGGGAUAACAGGCUGAUCUCCCCCAAGAGUCCACAUCGACGGGGAGGUUUGGCACCUCGAUGUCGGCUCAUCGCAUCCUGGGGCUGUAUUCGGUCCCAAGGGUUUGGCUGUUCGCCAAUUAAAGCGGUACGCGAGCUGGGUUCAGAACGUCGUGAGACAGUUCGGUCCCUAUCUGUCGUGGGCGCAGGAUAUUUGAUGGGAGCUGUUCCUAGUACGAGAGGACCGGAGCGGACGUACCUCUGGCGCACCAGUUGUUCUGCCAAGGGCAUAGCUGGGCAACUAUGUACGGAUCGGAUAAACGCUGAAAGCAUCUAAGCGUGAAGCCGACCCAAAGAUAAGAUAUCCCAUUGUUUCAAACAAGUAAGACCCCUUGAAGACUACAAGGUUGAUAGGCACGAUGUGUAAGUGGAGCGAUCCAUUCAGCAAGCGUGUACUAAUAGGUCGAGGGCUUGACCAC
rnacentral:rRNA from 1 species